rnacentral:rRNA from 1 species
GAUGAACGCUGGCGGCGUGCCUAAUACAUGCAAGUCGAACGCUGGAGAUCUGGCUUGCUAGAUCGAAGGAGUGGCGAACGGGUGAGUAAUACAUAAGCAACCUACCCACGAAGACUGGGAUAAUCUCUGGAAACGGGGACUAAUACCGGAUAGGUAAUCGGAAGGCAUCUUCUGGUUAUUAAAGGUUAAAAACACUGGUGGAUGGGCUUAUGGCGCAUUAGUUAGUUGGUGAGGUAACGGCCCACCAAGACGAUGAUGCGUAGCCGGCCUGAGAGGGUGAACGGCCACAUUGGGACUGAGACACGGCCCAGACUCCUACGGGAGGCAGCAGUAGGGAAUUUUCGGCAAUGGGGGCAACCCUGACCGAGCAACGCCGCGUGAGUGAAGACGGCCUUCGGGUUGUAAAGCUCUGUUGUAAGGGAAGAACGGUAGAUAGAGAAUAUCUAAGUGACGGUACCUUACCAGAAAGCCACGGCUAACUACGUG